CUCUAAUGAGACUGCCGGUGACAAGCCGGAGGAAGGUGGGGAUGACGUCAACGUCCUCAUGGCCCUUAUAGGUGGGGCUACACACGUCAUACAAUGGCUGGUACAAAGGGUUGCCAACCCGCGAGGGGGAGCCUAAUCCCAUAAAGCCAGUCGUAGUCCGGAUCGUAGUCUGCAACUCGACUACGUGAAGUCGGAAUCGCUAGUAAUCGUGGAUCAGAAUGUCACGGUGAAUACGUUCCCGGGUCUU
rnacentral:rRNA from 1 species